CCUACGGGAGGCAGCAGUGGGGAAUAUUGCACAAUGGGCGAAACCCUGAUGCAGCAACGCCGCGUGAGUGAUGAAGUAUUUCGGUAUGUAAAGCUCUAUCAGCAGGGAAUAGCGAAGACGGUACCUGAAAAAGAAGCCCCGGCUAACUACGUGCCAGCAGCAGCGGUAAUACGUAGGGGGCAAGCGUUAUCCGGAUUUACUGGGUGUAAAGGGAGCGUAGUCGGAAAGGCAAGUCAGAGGUGAAAACCCAGGGCUCAACCAUGGGACUGCUUUUGAAACUGUCAAACUAGAGUACGUGAGAGGAUAGAGGAAUUCCUGGUGUAGCGGUGAAAUGCGUAGAUAUUAGGAGGAACACCAGUGGCGAAGGCGUCUUACUGGACCGAAACUGACGUUGAGGAUCGAAAGCGUGGGGAGCAAACAGGAUUAGAUACCCCGGUAGUC
rnacentral:rRNA from 1 species